ensembl:lncRNA
CAAGCUGAAGCCUUCCUUAGGAAGCAAAGACAUGUGUGACAUGCUGAUUUUGUGCUGCAAGAUUAUUGUGACGCACCCUUCAGCGGAGAUGAUGCUGAAGAUCAGGAAGUCCCAGCAAGCAGCUCAGUACCUGCAGCUUCUGCAAACAUCACUGAAAGCUCUGGGCCGGCUCAUGGUGGUCCUGCUCGAGACAGAGACCGCCAGUGGCUUCUUUCAGAACAUAGUCCAUAGAUCAAUGACGUCAGGCAACACGUGGGAGCGCAAGAGGGCCCUGCAGACCUGCUCCCAGCUGCUGGCUGUUUGUGAAGAGCGUGGAAGAGGAGAUGCCUGCAAGCACUUUGGCUCCUUGGUGGGAUUGCUGGUGCCUCUGACGUGUGACCCCAUGCCCACCUCCCGCCAGUUGGCUGUCACCUGUCUGAGCUCCCUUCUCCGAAUCCAAGCCAAGGCGACCAACAGAGUCAUCCAGACAGGAGACAUCGGGAGCCUGUGUGAGGGGCUGAAUGACCGCAGCACCGUCUGUCAGCUCCAGACCUCUUCCAAAAUCGCGCGGAUUGUAUGCAGAAGCUUCUCCCUGGAACACACCAUAGAUUUCAUGAUGGCCAUCAAGGACACCUUCCGGAAGGCCAAAGGAAUGCGUGUGCGUGCUGCUGGGAAGUGGAUGAUCA